rnacentral:rRNA from 1 species
GACGGAGGAUGCAAGUGUUAUCCGGAAUUACUGGGCGUAAAGCGCACGUAGGUGGUUCGCUAAGUCAGCUGUGAAAUCCCCGGGCUCAACCUGGGAAUGGCAUUUGGGACUGCAAGGCUGGAGUGCGGCAGAGGUGAGUGGAAUUCCCAGUGUAGAGGUGAAAUUCGUAGAUAUUGGGAAGAACACCGGUGGCGAAGGCGGCUCACUGGCUCGUAACUGACGCUCAUGCACGACAGCGUGGGGAUCAAACAGG